rnacentral:rRNA from 1 species
AUUGAACGCUGGCGGAAUGCUUUACACAUGCAAGUCGAACGGCAGCACGGGGGCAACCCUGGUGGCGAGUGGCGAACGGGUGAGUAAUACAUCGGAACGUGCCCAGUCGUGGGGGAUAACGUAGCGAAAGCUACGCUAAUACCGCAUACGAACUCAGGUUGAAAGCGGGGGAUCGCAAGACCUCGCGCGAUUGGAGCGGCCGAUGGCAGACUAGGUAGUUGGUGGGGUAAAGGCGCACCAAGCCGACGAUCUGUAGCUGGUCUGAGAGGACGGCCGGCGACACUGGGACUGGGAAACGGCCCAGACUCCUACGGGAGGCAGCAGUGGGGAAUUUUGGACAAUGGGCGCAAGCCUGAUCCAGCCAUUCCGCGUGCAGGAUGAAGGCCCUCGGGUUGUAAACUGCGUUUGUACGUAACGAAACGGCCUGGGUUAAUACCUCGGGCUAAUGACGGUACCGUAAGAAUAAGCACCGGCUAACUACGUGCCAGCCGCCGCAGUAAAAC